rnacentral:rRNA from 1 species
UGGUCUUGACAUCCCGAGAAUCUCUUAGAAACAAGAGAGUGCUUCCAUUAGGAAGAACUUGGUGAC